UAGGUAUCAUAUCCAUAGGAUACCAUAAGGACUCUGUAUAGAUUUCUGCAUUUUUCACCUGUAUUGUGACUUCUGAGGUCCUCCAUGUGUGCAUGAAGUUGCUGAUUCCUCUUUUUUUCAUACGAAUGCUUCCCUUUUGAGCUCUUCGUAAUCUGAGUUACCAGAUUCACGAGACGCACCCCUGAUGAAGUCUAGUUCCUAGACGAAACGCGUUGGGUUACUGUAUUUCUUGUUGAUGUUAUCUCCGAAUAUUUAAUGAGGAAGAAUAAGGAUACAACAGAAAGGUUGCCUUCUUUCCUCCAUAUCCCAUUGAUGGAUUUCUGUAGGAGAAACUACAUCAUAAUGUACAUGUAAUAAUGAUG